rnacentral:lncRNA from 1 species
AUGCGCACCACCCAAGUCCCCUCAUCUCCCAAGCACGUGGCUGCAGACUUGGCACGCCCACUUUUCCCGUCAUGCAGCCCAGCCUCACUUCCCGCCAUGCCCCAGCUACCAUGCACACCUUCCUGGAAACCUCCUCCAAUCCUGUCUCCUUUGGGUCUUCACAGGCCCUGCCCUGAGCACCGUGCUCUGCCCUGUGUGAGGAGCAGCCCGGCCUCGCUGGGGACAGUUCUUUGCCUUGAGAGUGUCUGCACUCGUGUCUGCAAAUGCGUGUCUUUGCUUUUCAGUAAAUCGUGCUGUUCUCGUCGCCUCUACCUACAUCUCACGGUUGUACUGUUACGUGCAGGAAGACCACAUGGAACUCAUUCCUAAGAUGGAAGGCACACAUCUGAACGCCUCGUCCUGGAAUAUCAGCGCUUAGUCCUUGUUCGGUGCCCACAGACCCCGUCGGGUGCGGGAAUCGGCUGACCAAGGGAGGCGGCCGCAAUGCCUCCUGGAAGGUGCACCAUACGGGGUUCUCCUCUCCCACUGGCAUGCUGGUGAGCGGAACCACACCACGGCAAGACUGGGCUUUAUGUGGCGCUCAUGCUGGCCAGACAACGCUAAGCUCUGAAGAACUCUCCGGAAAGACAGUUUUAUGAUGAAAACGGAUUUAAUUGAGACCAGAAUUCCUGCUGCCCAGUGCUGCUGUUGCCUUUGGUAGCUCCCAGCUAGGAUGGGCGGCAGGGACGGUUGGGCCAAACAGGAGGAGACCUGCGUGAUCCCAGCGCGAUCCCGAUCGGACCCCCGGCGCCCUCGUGGAGGCAGGAGGCUUUACCGCGGUACUCGGGGUUGGUGAAGUCACGGAUGUACCAGUAAAGCUCCUGACGAACCCUCCUCCUACUGUCCACCCCUACUGGGGUCUUGCUUACAGUGUUAAACUGGCUUCCUCAGCCUGAAGUGGUAGCAGGAGCCAGUUUGCUGUAAUGUGCAUCAUAUGGUUUUCAUUCUUGGGAGAGAGUCGCCAAGUCUCUCCUGGCUCAGGAAACUGCUGGAGGCAUGCCCCACAUGACCAAGACAGUCCUUGGCUCUGCAGCAAGCCAGGCAACGGGAACAAGAGGAGAAGGAAAGCACACGGUCAGAGGGGCGCUUGCUCCCGAGGGCUGCCGGGACAAAUGACUGCGCCCGUGGAGUCUGUUGUCUAACAGAAACCCAUUUGUCCCCAGUUCUAAAGUCCAAAAUCGGGGCACCAAAGGGGCCGGCUCCUUGUGGAGGGCUGAGCGAGACGGUUUGGUGCCUCCCUCCCGGCUUCUGGCGGUUGUCAGCCACCCUUCGUGCACCUGGUUUGCAAACACCUCUCUCCAGUCUGCGGCCCUGUCUUCACCCGGCCUUC